UCCCGAUGCUAGUGGCGCACGGGUGAGUAACACGUGGGAAUAUGCCCUUUAGUACGGAAUAACCAAGGGAAACUUUGGCUAAUACCGUAUACGCCCUUCGGGGGAAAGAUUUAUCGCUAUUGGAUAAGCCCGCGUCGAAUUAGCUUGUUGGUGAGGUAAUGGCUCACCAAGGCGACGAUUCGUAGCUGGUCUGAGAGGACGACCAGCAUCACUGGGACUGAGACACGGCCCAGACUCC
rnacentral:rRNA from 1 species